rnacentral:lncRNA from 1 species
UUCACUUUCUCGUCUUCCUAUGAAUUUUGUUUUGGCUUUUCUGAAUUUGUUGCCUUAUUUGAUGGCUUAUUUGGUCUACUGGAAUAAUAAGUUGUAUUUCUACUCAUGUAGUAUGUUUUAACAUCCUCUUGUUGAGGAUCAUCAACCUAAGCAGUGACAUUUAAGUGACUUCAUGAUUUUGGAACACACCUGUUCUCCCUUCUGCCAUAAUUCCACAGUUUGAUACCGAAACUUAUAUAUCCUUUACUGCCAUUAGACACUGCUUUCUAGAAAACCAAGAAAAAGCCUCAUUUACACUAAUCCAGGAAAUGAUGCCAUGGAAAUAUAGACAGUUUCUAUAUCUCACAUCAUCUGUAUGACUUAGUUGACAGUCGCCAUCGUAUCAAUGAGAGGAAGGAGUUCUCUGCCUGAAAAUUAUAGAAAAAGAAAGUGGGCUCUGCAUCCAGGAAAUUGAGUCAGGAGUAAAGACCAUCGACCCUGCUCCCGAAUUGGUUUACAUUUCACUUUAUGAUU